rnacentral:rRNA from 1 species
CGCAUCUGUGCAUGCAGCAUAUCAAUAAGCGGAGGAAAAGAAACUAACAAGGAUUCCCCUAGUAACGGCGAGUGAAGCGGGAAGAGCUCAAAUUUGAAAUCUUGAAAGGUCUACCUUGCACGAAUUGUAGUUUAAAGAAGUGUUUUCUGUGACGAUCUGGUAAUAUAAGUUCUUUGGAAUAGGACAUCACAGAGGGUGAGAAUCCCGUCUAUGAUUGCUACUUUUAACUUUGUGAUACACUUUCAAAGAGUCGGAUUGUUUGGGAAUGUAGUCCCAAAACGGGAGGUAAAUUUCAUUCUAAGCUAAAUAUUGGCGAGAGACCGAUAGCGAACAAGUACCGUGAGGGAAAGAUGAAAAGAACUUUGAAAAGAGAGUUAAAUAGUACGUGAAAUUGUCAAAAGGGAAGCGUUUAACACCAGUGUUGUUUUCUGAAAAUCAACCUCUGUUAGCUUUAUGCAUGUUUGUUUAGACCUAAUCAGCUAUCUUGCAUGUUCUAUUGUUUGCAGUGGUGCACUUUUCAGUUUACAGGUCAACAUCAGUUUUUUUUACCGUAAAAAAGUUAAAGAAAGGUAGCUCAUGGCUCCGGUCGUGAGUGUUAUAGUCUUUUUCCUAUGCGGUAGGAGAGACUGAGGUCUGCAGUGUAGGCUAUUUGGCUAGAUACUCAGGUGCUAUGUGAUACCAUUUCAUAAACAACUUGUUGAUUAUGUUUUGUCUAUUGCAUACUCGCUUGUACUAUCAUACCUACGCUUAGGAUGUUGAAGUCAUCGUAUCGCGC